CUCACAUCCAAGGUAGGCUAGCAGGGUGGGUGGAGGCAUGAAAGAGGGUUUGAGACUAUUAGGUUGUAACUGGGCUGUGGAUGUUGGAAUGUGGAUAACAGAUAUAUUAGGAUGUUGGAGUGGCAAGGCAUUGGAGAAUAUUGGGGGACCAGGGUGAGGGGAGUGCUCCGAGGGACUGAGUAGCACCCUGUGUUUGGAGUGUUGGAUGAUGUUGCAAUAUUGAAGUGCCUUGAAAAACUGAGAGAGCAGAGAGGGUUGGAGUUAUGCUGGAGUGACAGGGCUUUGGGUUAUACAUUGGGAGGCCAGAGAGCAGAAGGUGAUGAGUGCGUGGGGAUACUAUGUGUGUGUGUGUCAGAACUGUCUAGUCCGACGGGAAGAUCGAGGCUUCACCGCUGUCGUGGGUGACUUCGGGCUGGCUGAAAAGAUUCCUGUGUAUAGGGAGGGGGCAAGGAAGGAGCCAUUGGCCGUGGUGGGCUCCCCGUACUGGAUGGCUCCAGAGGUGUUACGGGGUGAGCUGUAUGAUGAGAAGGCUGAUGUCUUUGCCUUCGGGAUUGUCCUCUGUGAGCUCAUCGCCCGAGUACCUGCAGACCCUGACUACCUACCACGCACUGAGGACUUUGGCCUGGAUGUGCCUGCUUUCCGAACUCUGGUGGGGGAUGACUGCCCACUGCCUUUCCUGCUUCUGGCCAUCCACUGCUGCAGCGUAAGAGCCUCACACUCCUUCCUGCCCCACCCU
rnacentral:sRNA from 1 species